AUUACUCCUACGGGAGGCAGCAGCUAAGAAUCUUGCGCAAUGGGCGAAAGCCUGACGCAGCAAUUCCGCGUGGGGGACGAAGGCCCUCGGGUCGUAAACCCCUUUUGUGAGGGAAGAAGUUCUGACGGUACCUCACGAAUAAGACACGGCUAACUACGUGCCAGCAGCCGCGGUAAUAAU
rnacentral:rRNA from 1 species